rnacentral:rRNA from 1 species
UACGAAGGGGGCGAGCGUUGUUCGGAUUUACUGGGCGUAAAGGGCGCGUAGGCGGCGGGUCAAGUCGAGUGUGAAAGCCCCGGGCUCAACCUGGGAGGUGCGCUCGAGACUGGUCUGCUAGAGUUCGGGAGAGGAGCGUGGAAUUCCCAGUGUAGAGGUGAAAUUCGUAGAUAUUGGGAAGAACACCGGUGGCGAAGGCGGCAUCCUGGACCGGCAUUGACGCUGAGGCGCGAAAGCCAGGGGAGCAAACGGG